AGUCAACCUAACUCGUGGACGUGGAUAACCUCGGGAAACUGAGAAUAAACCACGAUAGAUCAUAGUGCCUGGAAUGGCUUAUGGUCCAAACAGUUUACUGCCAUGGGAUGGGACUGCGGCCUAUCAGCUUGUUGGUGAGGUAAUGGCCCACCAAGGCGAUUACAGGUACGGGCUCUGAGAGGAGAAGCCCGGAGAUGGGUACUGAGACACGGACCCAGGCCCUAUGGGGCGCAGCAGGCGAGAAACCUUAGCAAUGUGCGAAAGCACGACUGGGUCAGUCCGAGUGAUUCCUGAUAAAGGAGUCUUUUGCCUGUCCUAAAAGCACAGGUGAAUAAGGGGUGGGCAAGUCUGGUGUCAGCCGCCGCGGUAAUACCAGCACCUCGAGUGGUCAGGACGUUUAUUGGGCCUAAAGCAUCCGUAGCCGGCUUUGCAAGUCUUCGGUUAAAUCCACCUGCUCAACAGAUGGGCCGCUGGAGAUACUACAGAGCUAGGGAGUGGGAGAGGCAGACGGUAUUCAGUGGGUAGGGGUAAAAUCCUCUGAUCCAUUGAGGACCACCAGUGGCGAAGGCGGUCUGCCAGAACACGUUCGACGGUGAGGGAUGAAAGCUGGGGGAGCAAACCGGAUUAGAUACCCGGGUAGUCCCAGCUGUAAACGAUGCAAACUCGGUGAUGCAUUGGCUUAUGGCCAAUGCAGUGCCGCAGGGAAGCCGUUAAGUUUGCCGCCUGGGAAGUACGGACGCAAGUCUGAAACUUAA
rnacentral:rRNA from 1 species